UACAGAGGGUGCGAGCGUUGUUCGGAAUUACUGGGCGUAAAGCGCGCGCAGGCGGCCCUUUAAGUCUACCCGUGAAAUGCCGGAGCUCAACUCCGUGCACGCCGGGGGGAUACUGGGGGGGCUGGAGACAUGUAGAGGCAAGCGGAAUUCCGGGUGUAGCGGUGGAAUGCGCAGAUAUCAGGAGGAACACCCCAUAGCGAAGGCAGCUUGCUGGGACGUUACUGACGCUAAGGCGCGAAAGCGUGGGGGAGCCGAACAGG
rnacentral:rRNA from 1 species